rnacentral:pre_miRNA from 1 species
AAUAUUUGACUCCGUUGAUUUUUUUACAUACGUUUAACCGUUCGUCUUAUUUAAAAAAUUUAUGUUAUUAUUAAUUCUUUUCCUAUCAUUUAAUACAUUGUUGAAUAUACUUUUUUUCAAACAUGUCAUUUUACAAAUUUCACAAAAUAUUUUGAAUAAGACGAACGAUUAAACGUGUGCUAAAAAGUUAACGGCAUCAAAUAUU